rnacentral:lncRNA from 1 species
ACUAGGCACUGAAAAACAACAGACCAACUAAGUGAAGGGAAAUUGAGGUGGCAAGCAUAGAGUGACAGAGAGAUAUGGUGAAGACAUAUGGCUUCUUUUGGUCCUUCUCAAGCAACAGCUUCAUGAAGCCAUUGAUUUUCAAUCCAAUGACUUUAUUGCAGUAGUUCUACCAAAUUUCUAUUUCUCCCCAACCAAAUUUCAGUAGUAACAUACCCCACUAGCAAUAACAACACCAGUAACAAUACUGCUAUAGCAACAUACUGCUACUUGAAACUUGAAAGUUGAAACCCAUAAUCUUCAUCCAUUUGCAUAGGAACAAUCUUCAUCCAUGCUAAUUGCUGAGCAAAUACUUGUUCAAUAGAAGAGACACUAAGUGAAGAUUAAGAUUAACUAGGGGAAAACUUGGAGAGGUGGAUAAAAAAAAAAAAACAGCGGAAAUAAAGAAGAGAAAAUAUUUGUGAACCUGAAAUAUCAAUUCCGGGACAUGAAAUUGAGAGACAGUGAAACUGAAAUAUCAAUUUCAGGACCUGCGUUCGUCUCUCUUGCAUUAGUAAAUUCACCUUAGAAAAACGGUGAUCCGAAGGAAUGGUAAAAAGAGAAUUGAAACAAAGAUGUUCGUAGUUAAAGUUGAAUGGAGAGAGACUAACUUGAUAGAGUGUUCCAUGGUUCAUUCUUGUGCUAUGCCCAACCUGCAUCAUAUAAGGGUAUUUCGGAACGUGCUUCCUAAGUUACCCAUUUUAGGAUCUUGGUUUCGGAAUGAACUGCAAAAAAUAUAUGUGUCUCGGGAGUUACAAACCGAACAUGAUUAAUUUCGGAACGUAACUUCCGAAGUUAGAACAGAAAAACGCUUAAUCACACAAGUUGAGUUGGCUCUUAGGGGAUGCUUCUGAGUUUCUUGUUUUGCAUCCUUCGAUGCUUGCAACUGUCCAGUUGCACUUAAAGCGGCAGCGCGAGCACAAGUAAUGAGAUUUGAGAGAUGCAGUAUACAUAAGUAAGAUACCCACUCCAUUCAAACUUAGAAUUUUUGCAAAAACUCAAUUUACAAAACAAACUUCAUCCAAUUUCAUGGAAAACAAAACCCAAACUUCAUACAUGUGGAUUAACAGAAACAGAAAAACAAAGUGGAACAAAUUAAAGAAGAUGAGGGAUUAUGAGACGAAAUCUUUGCAGGAAUGGAAGGGAUUGAGAAAGAAUCCAAAUUGCGUGCCCUAAAAUUCACCCAAGUAAAGGCAAAUGAAACGAUAUUGGAAGAUGCAUGAAAUUGCUGCGUUUUCGGAUCCUGAAAUCCGAACUGUUUGUCAUUUCAGUUAGUAGAUUCCAGA